rnacentral:rRNA from 1 species
UACGGAGGGGGCGAGCGUUAUUCGGAAUUAUUGGGCGUAAAGGGCGCGUAGGCGGCCUGAUAAGUCAAAGGUGAAAUCCCUCGGCUCAACUGAGGAAUUGCCUUUGAAACUGUCAGGCUUGAGGCCGGGAGGGGGUGGCGGAAUUCCCAGUGUAGCGGUGAAAUGCGUAGAUAUCGGGAGGAACACCUGUGGCGAAAGCGGCGCACUGGACCACAACUGACGCUGAGGCGCGAAAGCUAGGGGAGCAAACAGG